rnacentral:rRNA from 1 species
UACGUAGGGAGCAAGCGUUGUUCGGAUUUAUUGGGCGUAAAGGGCUCGUAGGCGGCCAACUAAGUCAUACGUGAAAUCCCUCAGCUUAACUGGGGAACUGCGUGUGAUACUGGAUGGCUUGGAUGUGGGAGAGGGAUGCGGAAUUCCAGGUGUAGCGGUGAAAUGCGUAGAUAUCUGGAGGAACACCGGUGGCGAAGGCGGCAUCCUGGACCAUUAUUGACGCUGAGGAGCGAAAGCCAGGGGAGCAAACGGG